rnacentral:rRNA from 1 species
AAUGAACGCUGGCGGCGCGCCUAAUACAUGCAAGUCGAGCGAGAAGACGUAGCAAUACGUUUGUAAAGCGGCGAACGGGUGAGGAAUACAUGGGUAACCUACCCUCGAGUGGGGAAUAACUAGCCGAAAGGUUAGCUAAUACCGCGUACGCUCCUUGGACUUCGGUUCAGGGAGGAAAGCGAUACCGUGGGUAUCGCGCUCUUGGAUGGGCUCAUGUCCUAUCAGCUUGUUGGGAGGUAACGGCUCACCAAGGCUUCGACGGGUAGCUGGUCUGAGAGGACGAUCAGCCACACUGGCACUGCGACACGGGCCAGACUCCUACGGGAGGCAGCAGUAAGGAAUAUUGCGCAAUGGGCGAAAGCCUGACGCAGCGACGCCGCGUGGGGGAUGAAGGUCUUCGGAUUGUAAACCCC